rnacentral:rRNA from 1 species
CAAUAGCGUAUAUUUAAGUUGUUGCAGUUAAAAAGCUCGUAGUUGGAUUUCGGGUGUCAUCUGCCGGUCCGCCGUUUCGGUGUGCACUGGCGGGUGGUAUCUUCUUGUCGAGGACGCGCUCCUGAGCUUCACUGUUUGGGACGCGGAGUCGGCGAUGUUACUUUGAAAAAAUUAGAGUGUUCAAAGCGGGCCUACGCUUGAAUAUAUUAGCAUGGAAUAACACUAUAGGACUCCUGUCCUAUUUUGUUGGUCUUCGGGACGGGAAUAAUGAUUAAGAGGAACAGUUGGGGGCAUUCGUAUUUCAUUGUCAGAGGUGAAAUUCUUGGAUUUAUGAAAGACGAACUUCUGCGAAAGCAUUUGCCAAGGAUGUUUUCAUUAA